rnacentral:misc_RNA from 1 species
AAGUCGUAACAAGGUUUCCGUAGGUGAACCUGCGGAAGGAUCAUUACGCAUAGGGACUGGCAGCCGAGACCCCACCUAGCGAAAAUUAGGUGGGGUAAGGUGCGCCAGCAACCCCCCGAGCAUAUCGCCGGGCCACCCUGCCUUUUGAGCACCAUUUCGUUUCCUCGGCGGGCUUGCCCGCCACUGGGGACCCUCAAAAACCUUUUGUAAUGAGAAGUAACAGUAUCAUAAAAAAAUUUAUCACAA